rnacentral:rRNA from 1 species
UACGUAGGGUGCAAGCGUUUAAUCGGAAUUACUGGGCGUAAAGCGCGCGUAGGCGGCUUUUCAAGUCGAUUGUGAAAUCCCCGGGCUUAACCUGGGAACUGCAGUCGAGACUGUCUAGCUAGAGUAUGGGAGAGGGAAGUGGAAUUUCAGGUGUAGCGGUGAAAUGCGUAGAUAUCUGAAGGAACAUCAGUGGCGAAAGCGAACUUCCUGGACCAAUACUGACGCUCAUGUGGCGAAAGCGUGGGGAGCAAACAGGG